AUUGAACGCUGGCGGCAGGCCUAACACAUGCAAGUCGAGCGAGCGGCGGACGGGUGAGUAAUGUAUGGGGAUCUGCCCGAUCGAGGGGGAUAACUACUGGAAACGGUGGCUAAUACCGCAUACCAUCAGAUGAACCCAUAUGGGAUUAGCUAGUAGGUGGGGUAAAGGCUCACCUAGGCGACGAUCCCUAGCUGGUCUGAGAGGAUGACCAGCCACACUGGAACUGAGACACGGUCCAGACUCCUACGGGAGGCAGCAGUGGGGAAUAUUGCACAAUGGGCGCAAGCCUGAUGCAGCCAUGCCGCGUGUGUGAAGAAGGCCUUCGGGUUGUAAAGCACUUUCAGUGAGGAGGCGUUACCGACAGAAGAAGCACCGGCUAACUCCGUGCCAGCCGCCGCGGUAAUAC
rnacentral:rRNA from 1 species